rnacentral:rRNA from 1 species
UUUAUAAUCUGGCACCUUCGGUGUCCGAGUUGUAAUCUCUAGAAGUGUUUUCCGCGUUGGACCGCACACAAGUCUGUUGGAAUACAGCGGCACAGUGGUGAUACCCCCGUACACGGUGCGGACGCCCAGCGCUUUGUGAUACACUUUCAAUGAGUCGAGUUGUUUGGGAAUGCAGCUCAAAUUGGGUGGUAAAUUCCAUCUAAAGCUAAAUAUUGGCGAGAGACCGAUAGCGAACAAGUACCGUGAGGGAAAGAUGAAAAGCACUUUGGAAAGAGAGUUAACAGUACGUGAAAUUGUUGGAAGGGAAACGCUUGAAGUCAGACUUGCUUGCCGGAGCUUGCUUCGGUUUGCAGGCCAGCAUCAGUUUUCCGGGGUGGAUAAUGGUGGUUUGAAGGUAGCAGCCUCGGCUGUGUUAUAGCUUUCCACUGGAUACAUCCUGGGGGACUGAGGAACGCAGCGUGCUUUUUGCGAAGGUUUCGACCUUUUCACGCUUAGGAUGCUGGUGUAAUGACUUUAAACGACCCGUCUUGAAACACGGA